CGCUAUCGAUAGGCUUAACACAUGCAAGUCGAGGGGCAGCAUGAUCUUAGCUUGCUAAGGUUGAUGGCGACCGGCGCACGGGUGCGUAACGCGUAUGCAACUUGCCUUACAGAGGGGGAUAACCCGUUGAAAGACGGACUAAAACCGCAUACACUUGUAUUAUUGCAUGAUAUUACAAGGAAAUAUUUAUAGCUGUAAGAUAGGCAUGCGUCCCAUUAGCUGGUUGGUGAGGUAACGGCUCACCAAGGCGACGAUGGGUAGGGGAACUGAGAGGUUUAUCCCCCACACUGGUACUGAGACACGGACCAGACUCCUACGGGAGGCAGCAGUGAGGAAUAUUGGUCAAUGGGCGAUAGCCUGAACCAGCCAAGUCGCGUGAAGGAAGACAGUCCUAAGGAUUGUAAACUUCUUUUAUACGGGAAUAACGGGCGAUACGAGUAUUGCAUUGAAUGUACCGUAAGAAUAAGCAUCGGCUAACUCCGUGCCAGCAGCCGCGGUAAUACGGAGGAUGCGAGCGUUAUCCGGAUUUAUUGGGUUUAAAGGGUGCGUAGGUUGUUCGGUAAGUCAGCGGUGAAACCUGAGCGCUCAACGUUCAGCCUGCCGUUGAAACUGCCGGGCUUGAGUUCAGUGGCGGCAGGCGGAAUUCGUGGUGUAGCGGUGAAGUGCAUAGAUAUCACGAGGAACUCCGAUUGCGAAGGCAGCUUGCCAUACUGCGACUGACACUGAAGCACGAAGGCGUGGGUAUCAAAACAGGAUUAGAUACCCUGGUAGUCCACGCAGUAAACGAUGAUUUCUAGGAGUUUGCGAUAUACCGUCAAGCUUCCACAGCGUAAGCGAUAAGUAAUCCACCUGGGGAGUACGCCGGCAACGGUGAAACUCAAAGGAAUUGACGGAGGCCCGCACAAGAGGAGGAACAUGUGGUUUAAUUGGAUGAUACGCGAGGACCCUUACCCGGGAUUGAAAUGUUGAUGACGGAUGGUGAAAACCGUCUUCCCUUCGGGGAUUCUAUGUAGGUGCUGCAUGGUUGUCGUCAGCUCGUGCUGUGAGGUGUCGGCUUAAGUGCCAUAACGAGCGCAACCCACAUCGGUAGUUGCUAACAGUUUUCGUUGAGGACUCUACCGAGACUGCGGUGGUAAGGCGCGAGGAAGGUGUGGAUGACUUCAAAUCAGCACGGCCCUUACAUCCGGGGCGACACACGUGUUACAAUGGGAGGGACAAAGGGCAGCUGCCGGGCGACCGGAUGCGAAUCUCUAAACCCUUCCCCAGUUGGGAUCGGAGUCUGCAACUCGAAUCCGUGAAGCUGGAUUCGUUAGUAAUCGCGCAUCAGCCAUGGCGCGGUGAAUACGUUCCCGGGCCUUGUACACACCGCCCGUCAAGCCAUGGGAGUGCGGGGGUACCUGAAGGGCGUAACCGCAAGGGGCGCACUAGGGUA
rnacentral:rRNA from 1 species